rnacentral:rRNA from 1 species
AACGAACGCUGGCGGCAUGCCUAACACAUGCAAGUCGAACGAGACCUUCGGGUCUAGUGGCGCACGGGUGCGUAACGCGUGGGAACCUGCCCUUAGGUUCGGAAUAACUCCCCGAAAGGGGUGCUAAUACCGGAUAAUGUCUUCGGACCAAAGAUUUAUCGCCUUUGGAUGGGCCCGCGUUGGAUUAGCUAGUUGGUAGGGUAAAAGCCUACCAAGGCGACGAUCCAUAGCUGGUCUGAGAGGAUGAUCAGCCACACUGGGACUGAGACACGGCCCAGACUACUACGGGAGGCAGGAGUGGGGAAUAUUGGAAAAUCGGCGAAAGCCUGAACCAGCAAUGCCGGGUGAGUGAUGAAGGCCUUAGGGUUGUAAAGCUCUUUUAACCGGGAUGAUAAUGACAGUACCGGGAGAAUAAGCUCCGGCUAACUCCGUG